AAACCAACCGGGAUUGCCUUAGUAACGGCGAGUGAAGCGGCAAAAGCUCAAAUUUGAAAUCUGGUACCUUCGGUGCCCGAGUUGUAAUUUGGAGAGGGCAACUUUGGGGCCGUUCCUUGUCUAUGUUCCUUGGAACAGGACGUCAUAGAGGGUGAGAAUCCCGUGUGGCGAGGAGUGCGGUUCUUUGUAAAGUGCCCUCGAAGAGUCGAGUUGUUUGGGAAUGCAGCUCUAAGUGGGUGGUAAAUUCCAUCUAAAGCUAAAUAUUGGCGAGAGACCGAUAGCGAACAAGUACAGUGAUGGAAAGAUGAAAAGAACUUUGAAAAGAGAGUGAAAAAGUACGUGAAAUUGUUGAAAGGGAAGGGCAUUUGAUCAGACAUGGUGUUUUGUGCCCUCUGCUCCUUGUGGGUAGGGGAAUCUCGCAUUUCACUGGGCCAGCAUCAGUUUUGGUGGCAGGAUAAAUCCAUAGGAAUGUAGCUUGCCUCGGUAAGUAUUAUAGCCUGUUGGGAAUACUGCCAGCUGGGACUGAGGACUGCGACGUAAGUCAAGGAUGCUGGCAUAAUGGUUAUAUGCCGCCCGUCU
rnacentral:rRNA from 1 species